rnacentral:rRNA from 1 species
UACGGAGGAUGCAAGCGUUAUCCGGAAUGAUUGGGCGUAAAGCGUCCGCAGGUGGCAGUUCAAGUCUGCUGUCAAAGACCGGGGCUUAACUUCGGAAAGGCAGUGGAAACUGAAUAGCUAGAGUAUGGUAGGGGCAGAGGGAAUUCCUGGUGUAGCGGUGAAAUGCGUAGAGAUCAGGAAGAACAUCGGUGGCGAAGGCGCUCUGCUGGACCAUAACUGACACUCAGGGACGAAAGCUAGGGGAGCGAAUGGG